UACAGAGGUCUCAAGCGUUGUUCGGAUUCAUUGGGCGUAAAGGGUGCGUAGGUGGCGCCAUAAGUCGGGUGUGAAAUCUCGGGGCUUAACUCCGAAACUGCAUUCGAUACUGUGGUGCUUGAGGACUGGAGAGGAGACUGGAAUUCAUGGUGUAGCAGUGAAAUGCGUAGAUAUCUGGAGGAACACCGGUGGCGAAGGCGGCAUCCUGGACCAAUUCUGACGCUGAGGAGCGAAAGCCAGGGGAGCAAACGGG
rnacentral:rRNA from 1 species